UUUUUUUUGUCUUUUUUUUUUUUUUUUUAGUGUUGGCUCCAUUCAUUUAUAGAUUCUGCGUGGGGAGAACAUAGCCAACCCAAGGGCCAGAUUCAGUCCCCUGGGUCUCUAGUUUGCAACCUUUGCUUGGCCAAGCAGUGUAGCCAGAGAAGGAGCAGAUCACAGCCUGAUCCUGAGUCAGGAUCUGAAGGUUGGGACAGGGGCCAGCACCCAUGCCAGCAGCUCUGAGGGACUGUGAAAAAGGUUCCUGUCAUCUGGCCCCCCUCCUCCAUCUCAUGGGGAUGAGCCUCUCCCACCCUCCUGCCUGCUCCAGCUGGCUGUGGGGUAGAAGGGGGCCUGGAUGGGGACUAAGGUCUCCCUUCCCAUAUGGGACACAGCUGUGGAUGUGUUUGCCAGGCAGAUCCCAACGUCUCUCUCCUGCCCCCAUGACCCUGCAACCCCAGGAAGAUGGCAGUUCUGUGCCCCUGAUCAUCCCCUAAAACCCAGAUCAUCCCUCGGCAGCCAGUUCACAUCCCUGUCCCAACCCCCACACUCCAAGCUACACGCUUCCACAGCCAUCACUUUGAAUCAUCACCACGUCCUUUCAUGACCAAUUUUCAGAUGAGGAAACUGAGGCUCAGGGAGGGAAAAUGACUGGUCUAGGGCCCUAUGAUGAGCAUGCAGAGGGGCUGGACCCAAGCUCAGGCCUCCCAUUCUGGAUCAUAGAGGCCUCACCUCCUCUCUUCCUGCUAGAACCCAGCUCAUCCCCCAAGGCUCAAUCCAGUGUUUCCUCCUGGUUUAUUUAACAAGCAGCCUGGUCCUAGGCCAGGUACUGGGUAGUCAGAAAUGAAUAGAUAGGGUGUGUCUCAGGCUCCCCCAUGGUGUUUAUCAAAUGAAUAUUUCACCUACUCCCUGGGAAUCUCAUUUUCCCCAGAGUGGUGGGCCCUGUGCACAUCCAAUCUGCUUGUCUCAGCCCUGGCAUCUCCUUUCCCUGCCCACAUGCCUGCAUGCUUCCCAGAUGUCUACCCCUGCAUGGUCCCCAGGCAUGCUCCACAUCAAUGCACCCAAAGUGAACUCAGCAGCUUCCUCCAACUGCUCUUCUGCCUCCAUCUCCCUACUCACAGAAGGCGCUACCAUCUGCCCAAUGGCCAAAGCCAGAAGCCUGGGUACCAUCAGAAUACCUCUGCCUCCACACCCUCAACUCAAGUGGUCAGCAAGGCCAGGGGGGCUAGUCUUCAAUAUCCUUCAGAUCCAUCUGCCUUUCCCCUCUUCCCUGAGUGACCACACUCUCCUUCCCUGUCUGCCCUGCUGGGGAACUCUGUCUUCCUCAAAUCCAGCUUCCCCCAGCAGCUGGGUGACAUUUACGAUUUUCUGCAGCUAUCAGAUAUAGCUCCCCAUCACUUUCAAAAGGCAGUUCUUGGCCAGCCUUAAAAUUCCUGCUUGGUCCAGGGCAUUGCCCCAUCCCUACACAUUCCAGCCAACCAGGACUCCUCUCACUUUUCCAAUAUGCUAUAUUCUCUCUCAUCUGAGCUUUUGCACAGGCUGUUCUUUCUGCCUGGAAUUUUCUCUCCUCCCCCUUCUCAUCUCUUGUCUGACUACUCCACAAAUGCCCUGCAGAACUCAACUUAGGUGUCAUGAGCUUCAUAAAACUUCCCUGACCGCCUAAGCCUGGUUUAGAUAACCCCCAGGGUCCUGCGGCCCUUUCCAUACGAGUGAGAUUACAGCUGCUGGAACCAGAAACCCCUCCAGUGAUUCUAUACAGAAAGGAUGGAAUACAGGAAACUGGGCACUCACGAAAUCACUAGGAAGGCUGGAGGGGCUCCAGAAUGACAAGCAGAACUGGCCCACUGCUAUGGGCUGCCACCUCAGCUAGUCAGGAUGGUGGGGAACAAGUGGGCCACCCCAGGGACUGUUGGCUUUGAGAUCACACCCGCAGAGCAGUGAUCCCGAGAUGAAGAGGCCCCUACCACCACUUCUGGACCCUCGAUACUGGUAACCAGGCAUGGUAUGCUGCCACAAAAAACACAAUCAUGACCAUAUUCAUUAGCAGAAAGAGAGCCCUUCUGAAUCUCAUGGGAGAGCAUCUGACUGGCAUCACCUAAGAAGCAUGCAGACCCCUAACUGCCGAGGAGAUGGGGAAAUGUGGCUUAAAGCUUUCCAGUCUCUGCGUUCUCGAGCUAGAAGGAGAUGUUAAUGUAAACGGAUGCCAAGUACCAAUGGACCCUAAAUGUGAUGACUCAGGAUUCCCCACCUCAUGUUUACUUGUCUGCCUUUCUUACCAGACUGGCAGCCCUUUCAGGAAGACACUUUAAGGGACACUUUAAGGUAUCCAUGUCCACCAGCAUUUAUUGAGCAAUUACUAUGUCCUAAGCGCUAGGCUAUGUGCCUUUCACACUUGUUUACAUAUUUAUAUCCAAUAGGGUUGGGGUUAUUGCUAACCCUAUUUUUUACAAGAAGAGGAAGAGGCCCAGAAAGAUGAAGUAAUUUUCCUAAGGUCACCCCGCCAGUAAGUAUUAGAGAUGAGAUUAAAAAUGAAAUCUGUUUGACUUUAAGCUUUAAACACUUGCCACUAUAAUAGGCAGUUUUGUCUUCUCACAGGGAUCUCCUUCCAGACAUCCAGAAAAGUCACAGUAAUGCUGUGCAAUGAACAAAUGAAUACCCAAGUGCUCCCCUCCACUGGGACACCCUCUGUCCCCGCCUCAGCUGCCUUCAUCCCUCUGGGUCUGGGUUCCUUUCCAUAGACAGGACUUGAGAAAUAAAAAGAAACUAAUUAUGGAGUUCCCAUCAUGGUGCAGUGGUUAACGAAUCCAACUAGGAACCAUGAGGUUGCGGGUUCAAUCCCUGCCCUUGCUCAGUGGGUUAACGAUCCGGCGUUUCCAUGAGCUGUGGUGUAGGUCACAGACACGGCUCGGAUCCCAUGUUGCUGUGGCUCUGGCGCAGGCAGACCCCUAGCCUGGGAACCUCCAAAUGCCGCGGGAGCUGCCCAAGAAAUGGCAAAACGAAAAAAAAAAAAAAAGAAGAAAAGAAAAAGAAACUAAUUGUGCUAUAACUCCUCACCUAGGGUGUGUAUGUGGCUGCUCAGCUUGAUGGCCACCACAGUCUUAAAAUUGCUGACAUUUUGUAUAUAUGCAUAGUUUUC
ensembl:lncRNA